rnacentral:rRNA from 1 species
UACGGAGGAGGCAAGCGUUAUCCGGAAUUAUUGGGCGUAAAGCGUCCGUAGGUGGCCAUUCAAGUCUGCUGUCAAAGCAUGGAGCUUAACUCCAUAGAGGCAGUGGAAACUGAAUAGCUAGAGUUCGGUAGGGGUAGCGGGAAUUCCCAGUGUAGCGGUGAAAUGCGUAGAGAUUGGGAAGAACAUCGGUGGCGAAAGCGCGCUACUGGGCCGAAACUGACAAUGAGGGACGAAAGAUAGGGGAGCGAAAGGG